CCAGCACCUGCGGUAAUUCCAGCUCGAAUAGCGUAUAUUUAAGUUGUUGCAGUUAAAAAGCUCGUAAUUGGACUUCGGGCGGGUGACGGCGGUCCGCCUCUGGUGUGCAUUGCUGCUCAUCCGCCUUACAGUCGGGGACGCGCUCCUGGGGUUCACUGUCCGGGACCCGGGUUCGACAUGGUUACUUUGAGUAAAUUAGAGUGUUCAAAGCAGGCGUUCGCCCUGAAUACAUUAGCAUGGAAUAGCACGAUAGGACUCUGGCCUAUUCUGCUGGUCUGUAGGACCGGAGUAAUGAUUAAGAGGGACAGUCGGGGGCAUUCGUAUUUCAUUGUCAGAGGUGAAAUUCUUGGAUUUAUGAAAGACGAACUUCUGCGAAAGCAUUUGCCAAGGAUGUUUUCAUUGAUCAAGAACGAAAGU
rnacentral:rRNA from 1 species